GGUGGAGCCCCUUCACGCCACAACAGGCCUUGUAACUGAUGAAGAGGAUGAAACUGUGUCUGCUGCCUUUACAGAGGGGGAUUCAGAAAGGCAUACAGAGAGCAUGGCUGGGCAACAGCAGGACGGUCCCUCAACUUCCAC